rnacentral:tRNA from 1 species
ACCAGGGUGGCUCAGUCGGUUGAGCAUCUGACUUUGGCUCAGGUAAUGAUCUCACGGUUCGUGGGUUCAAGCCCCAUGUCGGGCU